GACGUAGGGUGCAAGCGUUGUCCGGAAUUAUUGGGCGUAAAGAGCGUGUAGGCGGUCUGACAGGUCUGCUGUGAAAACUCGAGGCUCAACCUCGAGAUGUCGGCGGAAACCGUCUGGCUAGAGUCCGGAAGAGGAGAGUGGAAUUCCUGGUGUAGCGGUGAAAUGCGCAGAUAUCAGGAAGAACACCUAUGGCGAAGGCAGCUCUCUGGGACGGUACUGACGCUGAGACGCGAAAGCGUGGGGAGCGAACAGG
rnacentral:rRNA from 1 species